ACGUAGACGCUAUUCCCUAAGAUUAACCCAUGCAUGUUUUUGACAUUUGAAAAAUGGACUGCUCAGUAAUACUCACUUUAUUUUAUGUAAAUUUUUGAUUAAUUAACUACGUUAAAGUGUAGAUAAGAUGUUUACAGUAAGAGUGAGACCUAUCAGCUAGUUGUUAAGGUAAUGGCUUAACAAGGCUGUGACGGGUAACGGUAUUACUUUGUAAUAUUCCGGAGAAGGAGCCUGAGAGACGGCUACUAAGUCUAAGGAUUGCAGCAGGGGCGAAACUUGACCUAUGGAUUUUAUCUGAGGCAGUUAUGGGAAGUAAUAUUAUAUUGUUUCAUAUUUUAAAAGUAUAUGAGGUGAUUAAUUGGAGGGCAAAUCAAGUGCCAGCAGCCGCGGUAAUACUUGUUCCAAGAGUGUGUAUGAUGAUUGAUGCAGUUAAAAAGUCCGUAGUUUAUUUUUUAAGAAGCAAUAUGAGGUGUACUGUAUAGUUGGGAGAAAGAUGAAAUGUGACGACCCUGACUGGACGAACAGAAGCGAAAGCUGUACACUUGUAUGUAUUUUUUGAACAAGGACGUAAGCUGGAGGAGCGAAGAUGAUUAGAUACCAUUGUAGUUCCAGCAGUAAACUAUGCCGACGAUGUGAUAUGGAAAUGUUAAUUUGUAUUACAUAAUAGAAAUUUGAGUUUUUUGGCUCUGGGGAUAGUAUGAUCGCAAGAUUGAAAAUUAAAGAAAUUGACGGAGGAAUACCACAAGGAGUGGAUUGUGCGGCUUAAUUUGACUCAACGCGAGGUAACUUACCAAUAUUUUAUUAUUUUGAGAGAACCGGUUUUUUGUUUGAGAAUGAUAAUAGUGGUGCAUGGCCGUUUUCAAUGGAUGCUGUGAAGUUUUGAUUAAUUUCAACAAGACGUGAGACCCUUAUUUUUUAUUAAAGACAGACACAAUCAGUGUAGGAAGGAAAGGAUUAAAACAGGUCCGUUAUGCCCUCUGACAUUUUGGGCUGCACGCGCAAUACAAUAGAUAUAUAAUCUUUAUGGGAUAAUAUUUUGUAAGAGAUAUUUGAACUUGGAAUUGCUAGUAAAUUUUAUUAAAUAAGUAGAAUUGAAUGUGUCCCUGUUCUU
rnacentral:rRNA from 1 species